UCAGGACGACGCUGGCGGCGUGCCUAAUACAUGCAAGUCGAACGGCUUUCGUAUGGAAGCUUGCUUCCACUGAGAAGAUAGUGGCGAACGGGUGAGUAACACGUGGGUAACCUGCCCAUAAGAGGGGGAUAACGAUCCGGAAACGGGUGCUAAUACCGCAUAGUUUUCUUGAUCGCAUGAUUGAGAAAGGAAAGACGGCCUUUGUGCUGUCGCUUAUGGAUGGACCCGCGGCGUAUUAGUUAGUUGGUGAGGUAACGGCUCACCAAGACGAUGAUACGUAGCCGACCUGAGAGGUGAUCGGCCACAUUGGGACUGAGACACGGCCCAAACUCCUACGGGAGGCAGCAGUAGGGAAUCUUCCGCAAUGGACGAAAGUCUGACGGAGCAACGCCGCGUGAGUGAAAGAAGGUUUUCGGAUCGUAAAACUCUGUUGUCAGAGAAGAACAAGUUGGAGAGUAACUGCUCCAGCCUUGACGGUAUCUGACCAGAAAGCCACGGCUAACUACGUGCCAGCCGCGGC
rnacentral:rRNA from 1 species